rnacentral:rRNA from 1 species
UGGGGAAUCUUGCGCAAUGGGCGAAAGCCUGACGCAGCCAUGCCGCGUGAAUGAUGAAGGUCUUAGGAUUGUAAAAUUCUUUCAGUGGGGACGAUAAUGACGGUACCCACAGAAGAAGCCCCGGCUAACUUCGUGCCAGCAGCCGCGGUAAUACGAAGGGGGCUAGCGUUGCUCGGAAUUACUGGGCGUAAAGGGCGCGUAGGCGGAUAGUUAAGUUAGAGGUGAAAGCCCAGGGCUCAACUCUGGAAUUGCCUUUGAUACUGGCUAUCUUGAGUACGGGAGAGGUGUGUGGAACUCCGAGUGUAGAGGUGAAAUUCGUAGAUAUUCGGAAGAACACCAGUGGCGAAGGCGACACACUGGCCCGUUACUGACGCUGAGGCGCGAAAGCGUGGGGAGCAAACAG